ACACGCAUGACACACUGCAUAUCAAUAAGCGGAGGAAAAGAAACUAACUAGGAUUCCCUCAGUAACGGCGAGUGAAGCGGGAAGAGCUCAAAUUUGAAAUCUUCAAGGUUCUACCUUGACGAAUUGUAGUUUAAAGAAGUGUUUUCUGUUGGAGUUUUGGUAAAAGUUCUUUGGAAUAGGACAUCAUAGAGGGUGAGAAUCCCGUAUUUGACCAUUAUUUCCAACUUUGUGAUACACUUUCAAAGAGUCGGAUUGUUUGGGAAUGCAGUCCAAAAUGGGUGGUAAAUUUCAUCUAAAGCUAAAUACUGGCGAGAGACCGAUAGCGAACAAGUACCGUGAGGGAAAGAUGAAAAGAACUUUGAAAAGAGAGUUAAACAGUACGUGAAAUUGUCAAAAGGGAAGCGUUUGACACCAGUGUUGUUUUCUCGAAAAUCAAUUAAAAAAAGUUGGAUUUUGUGUUGUAUUGACCUUAACAGCUUUCUUCACUCUUUUCCUGCUUUUUUUAAUGCACUUUUCGUUUAACAAGUCAACAUCAGUUUCUUUUGUUGUAAAAGGGUCAUUGGAAGGUGGCUUUCUUUUCGGAGAAAGUGUUUAUAGCCUUUGAUCUCUGCAACCGGAGAGACUGAGGUCUGCAGCGUAGACUCUUCGGGGUUAAAUACAUUUGUGCUAAGCUAUAGCUUUUUAUAGAAACUUGUUGACUAUAUUUAGUCUUGUGGCUUACUCGCUUAUGCUAUUUUACCUACGCUUAGGAUGUUGAGCGCAUGUCUCUCUCU
rnacentral:rRNA from 1 species